UGUUCAUCUGCAGCAAGGAUCUUCCAAAGCUCACAAAGUCAGUGCUGUCAUCACCUUUGUUUCUGCUUCAACAUCAGAGAUCAGAGUUGAAAAACAGCACAACAUUU
rnacentral:snoRNA from 1 species